GCGCCCGUAGCUCAAUCGGAUAGAGCAACGGACUUCUAAUCCGUAGGUUCCGCGUUCGAGUCGCGGCGGGCGUACGA
rnacentral:tRNA from 1 species